rnacentral:rRNA from 1 species
AUUGAACGCUGGCGGCAUGCCUUACACAUGCAAGUCGAACGGUAACGCGGGGCAACCUGGCGACGAGUGGCGAACGGGCGAGUAAUGCAUCGGAACGUGCCCAGUAGUGGGGGAUAGCCCGGCGAAAGCCGGAUUAAUACCGCAUACGACCUACGGGUGAAAGCGGGGGACCGUAAGGCCUCGUGCUAUUGGAGCGGUCGAUGUCAGAUUAGGUUGUUGGUGGGGUAAAAGCCUACCAAGCCGACGAUCUGUAGCUGGUCUGAGAGGACGACCAGCCACACUGGGACUGAGACACGGCCCAGACUCCUACGGGAGGCAGCAGUGGGGAAUUUUGGACAAUGGGGGCAACCCUGAUCCAGCCAUGCCGCGUGCGGGAAGAAGGCCUUCGGGUUGUAAACCGCUUUUGUCAGGGAAGAAACGCUCUGGGCUAAUACCCCGGGGUAAUGACGGUACCUGAAGAAUAAGCACCGGCUAACUACGUGCCAGCCGCCGCUGUAACAC